AUGAAACUGCUCUAUUCUUUGUGAUUAUUAAGACAACUUUUGAAGAUCACUUUAUCUUCCGUUUAUGCAAAAUGAUCCUGGCUCACAAACAAGAUCUACUCUAUUGCCCUUCUAAAACCUUGUUAGAUACGUUACAGAGGGAGACCUCCAUCUGUAGGAGCAGUCUCUCUUGCAUGUUAUUCCCGAUACCCCUUUAUCAAGCAGAACAAUUGAAAUGUCUUUUGCAACCAUCAUUUAAUGAACAUAAUAUAAAAAUAACUUCAGCAAAUGCAUAUUAAUGUAUUGCAAACUUUUUAUCUGAAAAAAAUGAUGUUAAAAGUUAAAUCCAAAUAGAAUUAUUACGAUGAGAUUUAUCAUAUCAGCUUUGCUUAUACUCCAAAAAUCAAUAGCCCUGACCCCAGAAGAAAAUAUUACUGUCAGUAAUCUUUACUGGUUGUAUAAUGGUCAAGAUGUUAAUAAUAUAAAAACAGAAAAAACACACCUCACCUCAGCAUAAUUAUAUUACACAGAUCCCUAGGUCCUUUCCAAGAAACAGAAAAAGGUGACCUACCAAAGCAGCAAAUAAGAAAAAGGCAGUGUGACUUUACACAGUUCACCAUUUCUGCAGUGCCCCUGUGCCUUCCCUCAGAGGCACCAGCAUAGCAUCAGUGCAGGAAAGCACAAAAGUUGAUUCUGUGGAUGGAGUAUAAUUAGUAGCAUAAACUCCUGGACUCCAUCAAUCUGCGCAUCAUAUAUGAGAAGUGGAAAAAAAUUAAAACAAAAGAAACAAAAACUAACAGAUAAGCUUGUUUCAGAAUAUGAAGACAAGGGUGAUGUCACUUACAACACACACAGAUGCACACUUGCAUGACCGGAUUUCUAGGAUGUCUCCAAAAUAUAAUUAAUCUAAUUAUGCCAAUAGUUAAGCACAAGUGUUGACUAAGGGAGCUCUCUCUGUUAGCUUCAGAUAUAACUAGCAUAACAAGAAAAAAUCCAUGCCUUCGGGAAAGGCAAGGAGGAAAGGCAAAGUUCUAGAUAGAACAUCGGAAUACAGACAUGUGCAAUUCAUAAUCCCAAACACAGUUAAAUGUGCAAUUUUAUAUGUUCUUGCCUUUCUGAAAUACCUGUAUGGUACAGAAGAACAGUAGCCUUGGGCUGAGCAGAUAAGAUACUCAAGGCACCUAAAAAGGCAUGAGCCACCUACAGUUAGGCAACUAAAUCUCAUCCCCAGUUAUUAAAAAAGUGUCAUCUGACUUGACACUGCACCAGAGACCUGAAUAACAGGCGUCCUUUCAUUGCUGAGGAUUUCUUCCAUUCCCGUUACUUACUCAUUUUCUACCCUCACUUUGCUUCCGUUUCCUUCCUCCUAAAGCACCUUCUAACAAUCUCUUUUU
rnacentral:lncRNA from 1 species